rnacentral:lncRNA from 1 species
CUGUUUGACCUCCAUGCCACCAUGUAAAACAAAUUUGGGCUAAUUUUAAGAAUGUGCUCGCCGCCUGGUCGUCGGUCAUCAAGGCGGAGCUCCAUGGCAUAGGGGCGUUACAUCGGGAUCGCCUCGAUGUAACCCGACAUUUCCUGAAUCUGAAUCUUUAGCGGUUCACACAUGCGGGGUUACAUAGGGCGUCCCGUAUGUAACCCGGCCUUUCCUUGGGCGCGUCAGCCGCGUUACAUCGCCAUCGCCUCAAUGUAACCCUACCUUUACUGCAUCUGAAUCUUUAGCAGUUCACACAGGUCGGGUUACAUAGGGCGCCACGUAUGUAACCCGGCCUUUCCUUGGGCGCGGCAGCCGCAUUACAUCGUUAUCGCCGGGAUGUAACCCGAACUUUCCUAGAUCUGAAUCUUUAGCAGUUCACAGAUGCCGGGUUACAUAGGACGCGACCAAUGUAACCCGGCGUUUCCUUUCUUGCGGAGGCCGCGUUACAUCGCCACCGCCUCGAUGUAACCCUGCCUUUCAUGCAUCUGAAUCUUUAGCAGUUCACACAUGCCGGGUUACAUAGGGCGCCACGUAUGUAACCCGGCAUUUCCUUCGGCGCGGCUCUGCAAAGAGUUGGAGAAGUGUCAGCAAGAUUUGACGGCCGCACACAGUAAGUACUUGCAUUUUAUUUGCUAUGAGUCGCAUAUUUGAAGGUUCGAGUGCUCAUCAUUAUUCCUGCCGCAGACCAAACCUCUCAGGCCAACUCCCUCAAGGACGCUGCUGAACUCCAGUGUAAGAACUGGGAGAAAAAGCACGCGGACUUGGCUCAGGAGUCGGCGGCUAACACGCAUGACUCAAGUGGAAUCACUUGAAAGUGGAAAAGAUGACUUACACCUUAAAUCUUUAUUUAAUUGCCGGGGCUAGUUCUAGAAAAAAAAAUCUUACCAACUGAAGAUGCCAUAACCACAAUGAAGAAAAUGCACAAACCUGCCUUGUUUUAUUCUGAGAUCUUUUGGUAGCCGUGUCUCUAGGCAAGGAAGAGAAUUGGUAGUGUACUGUGUAUAUAUAAUAAAGAGUACUAAAGAUGAAACUGACAUUGCAAUUGCUACUUCGAACCUGCAUCUUCUUCCUCCGCUUGAAAGAAAAACCAAAAGCACACCGGAACACCAAGUAGAUGGGGGCCGUGACUUGUUAAUUUAGUUUUAAGACAGGUGAUUUGGUUAUCAGAAACUGCUAAUAUAAUGCAUCAAUGCAACACUAUCUCUACAUAAACAUGUAACAACAAUCCACGGGUCAUGACUUGAGAUUAAAAAAAAAAGGUAAUCUGAAAUUUUGCUGCCAUAACCAUGGGAAGAAAGUCUACCUCAAGAAUACUGUGUUGUAUGAGGGAGAAGUUGACAGCAGAGGACUGCGAGGUUGAGCAAUCGGAUCCGACGAAAGUGCAUUCUGCACCGAUCUGAACAGAAACGACCGGAGGGCAGAAUACAAUUGGAGCUGCCCGCUGCUGCAAGAGGAUUAGGUCCAAGGAUUGGGAGGGGGGGGGGGGGGGGGGGCGGGGGGCUACUUGUCUAGAUUGGCAACUGAGAUGAAGCAGGGGGCCAGGGCCGGAAGAGCACCGACUCUUCUGGGAGAUGCCUAUGGCGGCGAUCAGGGGCGGAGGUGUGAGUCAGGGAGAGAGACAGGGAACGGGAAGGGGUCAGGGGUUGGGAAGGUCUUCGGAAAGGGGGAGACUCAGGUCGGAA